rnacentral:rRNA from 1 species
AACGAACGCUGGCGGCAGGCUUAACACAUGCAAGUCGAACGGUAACAGGCCGCAAGGUGCUGACGAGUGGCGAACGGGUGAGUAAUGCAUCGGAACGUGCCCAGUCGUGGGGGAUAACGCAGCGAAAGCUGCGCUAAUACCGCAUACGAUCUAUGGAUGAAAGCGGGGGACCGUAAGGCCUCGCGCGAUUGGAGCGGCCGAUGUCAGAUUAGGUAGUUGGUGGGGUAAAGGCUCACCAAGCCAACGAUCUGUAGCUGGUCUGAGAGGACGACCAGCCACACUGGGACUGAGACACGGCCCAGACUCCGACGGGAGGCAGCAGUGGGGAAUUUUGGACAAUGGGCGCAAGCCUGAUCCAGCAAUGCCGCGUGCAGGAAGAAGGCCUUCGGGUUGUAAACUGCUUUUGUACGGAACGAAACGGUCUGGGUUAAUACCCUGGGCUAAUGACGGUACCGUAAGAAUAAGCACCGGCUAACUACGUGCCAGCAGCCGCAGUAACAC